UUUAAUGAUUCUAAUUUAUGGCCAAAUCUGAUAAUUUGAUAUGACUAGUAAAUUAUCCAAAAUAGUUGUUAAACACUUUGUUAAAGCGCAUAUUGCUAUUCAUGCUUUUAUUUUUUUUACCUUUUAUAGAAAAAAAAAAGCACGAGUAAUUUUUCUAUGAAUAGUUUGGAUUCUACGAUCAUGAAUUGAUGUUUGAGGCUAAUAAUAAACGUCCAUCUUGAGAUUGAAAUUAAAACAAUUAAUUAAUAUAUAGGAUUUUGAGUAUGGUGAAACAUUGUUAUGAUUUUCAUUUUUCCUUGUUAUUCUUUUUUAAAUAUAUGUAUGGUCAUUUAUGGUAAAAGGCAGAGGUCAUGUCACAAAGCUAGCAAUUAAUAGGAGAGCAUUGGUAAAGGCUAUAUAUAUAUAUAUUUUUGUUGUGUUAGAUAAAGUAGAUGAGAAAGAAAAAGAAGAAGAUGAAAUCAAUCGGAUGGAAAUGGGUUGAGAAGGAAUCGCCUUUCACAGAGCACCGUAUGAUUGCGGGCCCCUCGUAAUCAAAUAUAAGAUAGAACUCAAUUUGAAUUUGAACGAGAAAGUAUAAGAACGGUUCAGAUUCAUUCUAAUUUUCAGAUUGUUGAAACGGAGAGAAAUGGAGGCACGGAGAGAGAGAGAAAAUUUCGUUGCGUCGUGCUUUCAGACACGAGCAAUUAUUAGUACUACUAUAUGUUAUAGUAUCAGCGAGCAAUAAUUCUGCAUGCAAAAUGCACAUGAUACUAAAACUAUAAUCAUAUUAAUACACGAAAUUAAAUAGUAUUAUAGAGUUAAUUUAUCCACGAAACUUGUAAAAAAAUAAGAUAGAAUCAUUUUCUAAUAUAUAUAGACAUAUAUUUAAUUAAGGAUAAAACUUAUUAAUUAAGCAUAUUAUAGUAUGGUACGAUGUAUAAGAAUAUAAGGCAACGUAUAUAAAUUAUGCAUGGGUGAUGGGAUGGGACCUCCAGCCCUCACUCUUACCCUUAGCAGGUGCUGAGAGGUUUGUACGUAUGUAUAUGGAGAAGGAAUGGCAGAUAUGUCCGUCCACCUACACUCUUACCAAAAGGUUGUGACGUUGAUCACUUCAAAGCACAUAAUAUUUAUAUUAUCCACAUAAAACGGGAGGUAUAUACUUGGCCUCGUUCUAAAAUAAAAGAGAUUAUUUUAAAAAAUUAAAUUUAUUUUAUGUGUUCAAAUUUAUUUUUAAUAUUAACUAAAAAUUUAUAGUGAUCGAUACUGGUGCAUGUAAUGUUUGUGAUAAAUUAAGAAUUAAUUUUAUUGAAUUAAAUAGAAUUAUAAAAAAGCUCGAAGCACAUAUCUCUAAAAGAAUUAUUACUAAUUGAUAAUCAAAAAGAUUUGCAAUAUACUAUAAUAUUAUUUGGUUAUUUUAAUUGUGUGUAUGGAGAGAGGGAGAGAGAACCCACUUAAUUCCGUAGUACACACUUUGCCACACACCCAAGAGGAACGCAAAUAGAAACAUGGAUGCUUCUUGUCUGCCUAUAUAAAACGAUACCACUCAAACCUCCCAACCCUUAUCUACAAUUUAUACCUUGAUAUCUGCCUUUGCUUUAAUUAAUUUCUUAGAAAGAAAUUAAGCUGGUUUAAUUUUUUCUUGUUGGCGGAAAUUAUCAAGGCUACCUACAAACAUAUAUAUACGUACUCAUAUAAUUACUCGAUCAUUCACUUUGGAUAUUCAUGCUUUUACCAAUUAAUAAAUUAUUAAAAUUCUUAAGACUUAAGUAACUUAAUAUUUACUGACAAAUUAAACGUACAACCGGUAAAAUUGCUCUAAUUUUUUUUAAUAAUAUUUAUUUAUAUAGACAGACAAACGAAAUGAAAGUCGUCUUAAGACUCUAAAGCCUAAAUGGAUUCACUAGUUAUUAUUCUAAUCGCUAGCACCUAGCAAUGCGCAUUUUGUACGAUUUUAAUUUGUAAAACGGUAAUGGGGUUCUUAGAGGAAUGAUUACCUUAAUAAUUAAAGGUUCUUAAAGUUAUAAAUUAGUGUUUAUUAGGUCAACCGUUUCUCUAAUUGGUUGACUAGCUAUAGGAUAUAUAUUUUUUUAUCAUCUAUAAAAAAUUGUAUACAACAUAUAUAAUAUCUUAAAUCAAGAUGAAUUGCUUCCUUCUUAGUUGACUCAUAUAAGAAAUUAUUACCCAAGGAAGGUGCUUUAGUUACAUAAUUUUUUAGUACUGAUGAUUAUAUAUAAUUAAUUAUGUUUAGUAUCAUUCCUUAAUUCGGUUUGAAUAUUUACAUAAUUAAAGGUAUCAAAUUAAUUAGUCGAUUAAUUAAGACAUUAUUAGUAAACUAAACCACGCACAAAUUAAUUAGUCGUCUAAGUUUUGACACCAUAUACUUCAAUCCUUAAUAUUUCUCAAGGGUUUACUUUUUAGGGUUGUUAUUUUAUUGUCUAUUAGCGUUUGCAUUUAGUACAUAAAAGGGGUUCGAAAUGAUUAAGGGCUAAAUUUUUUUAGGAGGGAAAAUAAAGGAAGAUGCUUGAAUACAUGCAUGCGGACUCAAAUUCAAUUGGUCAAAUAUUUUGAGAUAUUAUAAUUUGGAGUGCUUUACAUGUUUUCAACUUCUUUCUAAUUAUUUCAAAUAAUUCUUAUACCAAUUAAUUUUACGUUUAUUUAUUUCUAUUGGAGAUAAUUUUUCUGACUAAACUAACAAUGAAAUGUGCACAUAUAUGUACCAUACUACUACAAGACAUGCAUCAUUUUAAAGUGUCAUGCAAAGUAACAAAUGUGCACGUACGUAUAUUAAUUACUCCUAAGCUUGAAAUUAUAUAACACUUCCAAUUAUACUUAAAAUAAAAUGUAAUGUAAGAAGCACUAUAUAUACACAAAAAUAUAUCAACCAUUAAUUAAUUUGCAAGUGGAUUUAAAUUGUCAAAUAAAUGGUACCGAUAGCGAAUAGGAAUGAGCCACAUAAUCAAGUGGAGGAAAAUGAGUCUACUAAAAGGCACAGCUGGUAAUGGUGGUUCCAGUAGAAUAUGUAGUUAAAAAAUGAGACCAUAGGUUAUGGAAAAAGAGAGCAUAUGGUUCUGCAAUUCCACCACCACCACCAAACUCCAUAUAUAUAUAUAUAUAUCCAACUCUUAUAAUAGCUAACUAAUAGCUCCUUCCACAAUAUAUUCCCACUUGCACCGGCCACUGAGAGAGACAACCUCCAUAUCUAUAUAUAUAUAUAUAGAUAUUAUACCUGUAGCUAUACCAUGAGCGAGUGAUUCAGCCUAUUUCCCGGCCAAUUACCCUUUUCUUUUCUUUUCCACUAAAAAUAUUGAUAUUAUAAUAAUAAAUAAAUAAUAAAAAAUAAAAAACAAACCAACCACAAGAUUACAAAUAAUUAAUAUGCGCCCCUUGUACGUAUUCACGCACGUACUUUGGGGCUAUGACAUAUUUGGACUGUUUCUUGCUAUCCUUUUGCAUGUAAUUUCUCCUCCAUACGUAGCAGUAGCGCCAGCAUGCACCCACUUCAAUAUACUCAACUCUGAAGCUACUUUUUUCCCCUUAAAAACAUAAAAUAAAGUAUAUAAAAUGAAGCAUAAAUAUGUUAUUUAAUAAAAUUUAUUACUAUAAAAAAAAUAAAAGUAUUCAUAAUUUUAUAUAAUUUUAUAGGGCCAUUAAUUAAGGAUAAAUUUAAAUUUUUUAUUUAUGUGUAUAAAUUAUUCUUUACUCAUUAUUUUGAGGACUGAGGGAGUAUACCACAACACUCUCAUAUGUCAAUUUCAUUUGACUUUUUAUUGCACACAUGCCAAGAUUUGUUUAUUUCUUUUGAUAAUUAUGUUGAAAUUUAUUCAGUUAGUAAUACUAAUUUUCUAGAAAAAUAUUUAAAUAUAAAUUAGUGUGCGUUAAUUUUCUUAGUUAUUUUCAUUCUUUGAACAUGAGACCAUUAGAAUAAUUUAUUUUCGAAGAGUGUGGCAGACAAAUUAAAUCAAAAGUCAUCGAGAUGAGACUUUUAUUAGUGGACAUAAAGGAGUACUUGUAAUGACUAAAAUUUAUACUUUGCAAAUAUAUUCAAUCUUGUAUAUAGCAUAAGCAUGUACAUUUUAAUUUGUUAUCAAAUUUUGGAAAAUUGAGAAGCGCUGAUAUAUAUAUAUAUAUAUAUAUGGUUGAAAUAAAAAUAAAAGAAAAAAGAAAGAAAAAUAAAACAUGCAUAUAUCAACAUAACUAACUAAGAACAUAUAUGGGUCUUCAGAUCGAGUGGAGGAAAAAAAGUCAUGAUUUAAUCGAUCACAACUAAUUAAGAAUAAAAGGCUCAGUGAGUUCAUGGGUUAACUUUAUACCGUGGAAAUGUAAAUGCUCUUACACAUCAUUCAAACUCAACUUGAUUAUUAUUGGGUGAUAUUAUUAGUAGUAUGACUUUGUUAAUUCUCUCUUCUGAUACAAACUAAUCAGAAAAGAAUGCUUUUGCAGGAAGGUGAGAUGAUACAGGUUGUAACGGCUGGGCCAAAAGGGGUUACUCCCAACAACCGCGGUUGCUGUGGAUGGAGACCCAUAUAUAUAUAUAUAUAUNNNN
rnacentral:lncRNA from 1 species